GGGCCGAUGGUCUAGCGGUAUGAUUCUCGCUUAGGGUAACACCCUUAGCAAGUCGUGAUGAGCAAUCACAUGACUAAUAUGCGAGAGGUCCCGGGUUCAAUUCCCGGUUGGCCCC